AUGGCCGCACGCCUCGCGCUGGUGGCGGCGCUCCUGUGCGCCGGUGCCACGGCCGCCGCGGCGCAGCAGGCGAGCAACGUCCGGGCGACGUACCACUACUACAGCCCGGCUCAGAACGGCUGGGACCUGGGCGCCGUGAGCGCCUACUGCUCCACCUGGGACGCCGGCAAGCCGUUCUCGUGGCGGUCCAAGUACGGCUGGACGGCGUUCUGCGGCCCCGCCGGCCCCCGCGGCCAGGCGUCGUGCGGGCGGUGCAUCCGGGUGACCAACACGGGCACGGGGGCGCAGAUCACAGCGAGGAUCGUGGACCAGUGCGCCAACGGCGGGCUGGACCUCGACUGGGACACGGUGUUCGUCAAGAUCGACACCGACGGCAUGGGGUACCAGAGGGGCCACCUCAUCGUCAACUACCAGUUCGUCGACUGCGGCGACAACCACAUCAACUUCCAUGGAAAGAACGAGACGCUCCCAGCCAGCAUUCAUGCUGUUGAGUAA
rnacentral:rRNA from 1 species